rnacentral:rRNA from 1 species
GACGAACGCUGGCGGCGUGCUUAACACAUGCAAGUCGAACGGAAAGGCCCUGCUUUUGUGGGGUGCUCGAGUGGCGAACGGGUGAGUAACACGUGAGUAACCUGCCCUUGACUUUGGGAUAACUUCAGGAAACUGGGGCUAAUACCGGAUAGGAGCUCCUGCUGCAUGGUGGGGGUUGGAAAGUUUCGGCGGUUGGGGAUGGACUCGCGGCUUAUCAGCUUGUUGGUGGGGUAGUGGCUUACCAAGGCUUUGACGGGUAGCCGGCCUGAGAGGGUGACCGGCCACAUUGGGACUGAGAUACGGCCCAGACUCCUACGGGAGGCAGCAGUGGGGAAUAUUGCACAAUGGGCGGAAGCCUGAUGCAGCAACGCCGCGUGCGGGAUGACGGCCUUCGGGUUGUAAACCGCUUUCGCCUGUGACGAAGCGUGAGUGACGGUAAUGGGUAAAGAAGCACCGGCUAACUACGUGCCAGCAGCCGCGGUGAUACGUAGGGUGCGAGCGUUGUCCGGAUUUAUUGGGCGUAAAGGGCUCGUAGGUGGUUGAUCGCGUCGGAAGUGUAAUCUUGGGGCUUAACCCUGAGCGUGCUUUCGAUACGGGUUGACUUGAGGAAGGUAGGGGAGAAUGGAAUUCCUGGUGGAGCGGUGGAAUGCGCAGAUAUCAGGAGGAACACCAGUGGCGAAGGCGGUUCUCUGGGCCUUUCCUGACGCUGAGGAGCGAAAGCGUGGGGAGCGAACAGGCUUAGAUACCCUGGUAGUCCACGCUGUAAACGGUGGGUACUAGGUGUGGGGUCCAUUCCACGGGUUCCGUGCCGUAGCUAACGCUUUAAGUACCCCGCCUGGGGAGUACGGCCGCAAGGCUAAAACUCAAAGGAAUUGACGGGGCCCCGCACAAGCGGCGGAGCAUGCGGAUUAAUUCGAUGCAACGCGUAGAACCUUACCUGGGUUUGACAUGGAUCGGGAGCGCUCAGAGAUGGGUGUGCCUCUUUUGGGGUCGGUUCACAGGUGGUGCAUGGCUGUCGUCAGCUCGUGUCGUGAGAUGUUGGGUUAAGUCCCGCAACGAGCGCAACCCUUGUUCACUGUUGCCAGCACGUUAUGGUGGGGACUCAGUGGAGACCGCCGGGGUCAACUCGGAGGAAGGUGGGGACGACGUCAAGUCAUCAUGCCCCUUAUGUCCAGGGCUUCACGCAUGCUACAAUGGCUGGUACAGAGAGUGGCGAGCCUGUGAGGGUGAGCGAAUCUCGGAAAGCCGGUCUCAGUUCGGAUUGGGGUCUGCAACUCGACCUCAUGAAGUCGGAGUCGCUAGUAAUCGCAGAUCAGCAACGCUGCGGUGAAUACGUUCCCGGGGCU